AUCACACACAUGCAUGACAUGUGUCGUGUGUCAUCAUGGAAGCGAAACUGCGUGGUUCAAUGCUGUUGUUUGUUUAUUGAAAACCGGCUGUUAGAUUGCUGGAAACUUUAUAAUCAUGUGAAGGUUUCCCUAACGUAAUCGGUGCUUUGGACUGCACACAGGUAAAGAUUCAAGCCCCAUCUCAAUUUGAGGAUGUUUAUGUCUGUCGCAAAUCCAUUCACAGCAUCAAUGUUCAGAUGAUAUGUGAUGCUGAUCGCAUUGCCACAAACCUUGUAGCCAAAUGGCCGGGAAGUGUUCACGACAGUCGAAUAUUCAAGGUGUCGUCCAUUGGCCGAGAACUUGCUAACCAAGCUCCACAUGAUGGAUUCCUUUUGGGAGACAAAGGUUAUGCACUUGAACCGUACCUGAUGACACCUUAUCGGAAUCCAACACCUGAAGAAGCCAGAUUCAAUGCCGCCCAAGCACGAACCAGGACACGAGUUGAGCAGGCAUUUGGCAUUUUAAAGAGGCGGUUCCAUUGCUUGCACGAUGAAAUUCGGCUGGUCCCAGAACAGGCCUGUAAAGUGAUAGUCUGCUGUGUAAUCCUCAACAACAUUGCACUGAAGCGGCAGGAUGUGAUGGAGCCACUUUUGGAGAAUCAAUAUAACCUUGAUCCCAUUGAUGACGAUACUGUAACUGGAAGGGUUGUAAGAGAUCAUUUGCGUGAUACCUUCUUUCAUUUCUGAUUGUGCAAGCAUGCAAGUGUUUUUUAUGAUAUUUUAAGAGGAAACCUAAGUGAGUUGGCCAUAAAAUUGCAUUUAAAAGAAUACAUGUGUUAGGGGCAAAAUCCGUGUGCUAUGUGAAUCUAUGCCUUUUAUAGGUACGAAAAAUAGUAUUCAAAACUUUGGUUCAUAGAUCUUGUACUGUUUGGCAUGUUUGAUAUUUGUACUUUUUGUGGCAAAUUUGGAUGUUUUUGAUAGAAUGUCUGACAGAUCAGGGCCCGGUUGCACAGUCAGCAUUAGGUUAACAACAACUUAAAGGCCAUAUAUCAAGGUUUUUUGCCAUUUUCUGCUGUAAGACGAUUUCAAAAGUGUACCUAACACUUUAUACAAUACAGAAAACCAAAUGCAAUUAGCUCCAUCCAUUUUGAAGAUAUAGCCAAUUAUGUGUUUGACAACUUGAUUACCUAAUCAGGCUAGCAACUGGCUUGUUAGAGCCAGGUGGCGGGUUCAGCAAAAGUUGUGAUGUAGAUCAGGUUAUCUGUACAUGUCAUGCAAUCAUAAAAGCAGGAGGGCCUUAAUUAAUUAUGCACACCUGGAAGUAAUGUGUUUCAUUCACUAUGGUGUAUUGUGUGGCUCCGAAUUGUGUCAAGGCUAGCACAAAGAACAAUCGAAUGACGGAUGGGACCCAUUUUCAUGAAUUUCCAAAGCCAGUUGAACGAGAGAGGAGGAAGCUGUGGAUUCGGAAGUGCAAACGUUUGGAGUGUUGGAAGCCUGGGCCUUCGGCCAAACUUUGCAGUGAUCACUUUGUCGAUACGGAUUAUCACAUGAAGCCGGAUAACUGCAUCCAACUGAAUAUUAAAUGCCACUUGUUAAAAACAGCUGUUCCAACCAUGUCAAUUGCAUUUAAUGCCCGAGGCUGCUGAGGUCGGUUGUUAUACAUAAUGUGUAGGCCCUAUUGGGGCCUGUGAUACCGCAUAGUGUCUUCUUGUGUUCCAGCCAUAGCAAGGUGACAGCGACACAGGUCAGUGUCAGUGACAGCCACUGUCAAUGACAGAUUAUUGUCAUCUGACAUCUAGGCCUAUCUAACGUUGCACGGCAUUAUAUCGUCACGUCAAGAUGAUUGUGCAUAAUACCGUCACUUUUCAAUAGUAGUUCAGCGUCAUAACAUAACUGGCGAUACAACACUGACGAGGCGAAACAAUAUUGUGCAACAUUAGUCUGUUCAAAAAUCAUACAUGUUAUGCAUCAGCAACCGUCUAUCAAUGUCUUCUUUGCUAUAUCGGCAGGUCUGCCAUGCAAAUUGAUUAACCACAAUUUCUAAUCACUUUCGUCUGAAUGAUCACUCUCAUUAUGAUCUAGUGAUAUUAAUGGCUCGAACAUGUACGGCUCAACGUUUAAAUAUCCUUCUGUAUCGACCAAGUGCUAAUGCUUGAUUUAAAAUCUCACUUAUGUAGCAGUUGAAUAUCAUCGACUUGGAAAUUUUAACAGUAAUCCUUAAUAUAAUACCAUUUUAAUUGAUAACUCUAGUCUUACAUUAGUGAGAUUUUAAAGCCAGCAUUAGCGCUAACGUUGGUGUUAACCUAACACUGAUUGAGCAACUGAGACAAGACCACUAAUGAAUAUUCAUAGGUUGGAGGGUCCAGGCCUAUCUAUUAGACGAGUGCAUGUUUUUUACUCUCAAGUACAUAUUUGGAGAGGUAUUGACAAAAUAUUUGUUGUGGCAAGUCUAUAGAUAUAAAGAAAUUAUUUGAUGAAAAAAUUAAUUUCGAAUUUUGCUAAUUGGGUAAUAGGGGGCGUGUUUUGAGUUUUUUCUGCCAGUUGGCUGAAAAGAGUGGAAAUAUCAAAGUCUGUCUAAUUUGUCGAUUAAGAAAAAAUUUCCGUGGUCAAUCACCAUUUUAUUUUUCACCAUUUACUUGCCCGACUGUCCGGAAUAACAUGAGGGCCUAACUAACAUGGCUCAUUGAAAUACCUUGUUAAUUCUUCGGUUCACGGGUGAACCGUAAAGCAUGAGGCGUGAGGAGUGAAGCGUGAAGCUCUAUGUAACGUCUGCCUUAGGGGCAUGAAAACUUGAUUGACUGCAGAUUUAAUCCUUAUGCAGUUUAGCCAUUUUUAGCUUGAUGUAAUCAGUUUUAAGGCCAACAAGAGCUAUCUGACAGUCAAUCAACUUUUGUUGCUGCUGUGCUGCCAACUUCUCCUCUUGCAUGACCUCGUAGGAAAGAUUUUCAAGGUCUUCCUUAGAUCUUUUCGGCUUUGGUGGCUUGACCGAGGCUUUAAGCAGAUUGGCAAGUUCUGCCUUGUUCAUGUUCUUGUCAAUGUAAGUGCUGGGGCAGCUGGCUGAUCCUGCUACCCUCUUGCAUGUGGACCUUGGUUCAAGAGGGGCACUUCCUAGGGCUGCUGAAGGCUUGGAGGACAUACUAGUUAUAGUAGAGCUAGGAAGAACAGCUGCAAUUCCUCCUGCAGAAGUCUCAGCAUCAGCUGAUUGUAAUGGUAGUCGGAAGUCAAACACGACAUUCUUGUGUUCAUCUUGCGUCACUGCUGUCCAUGCUGAAAGUAGUUAAAGAUGUGUAGAAAUAUGGUUCAACAUCAAUACAUGACAUUAGUUUUGCAAUGAUUAAAACUGUCAAAAGUUGCUAUGUUAUAUCAAUCUAAAAUGAUUUUUUUUAGAUCGCUUAAUUCCGCUCGGCUGACGUUUACUAUUCAGUGAAAUGAGUCGCUGUGCCUUUUAUCUUGAUGUGUGAUGUGAACAAUUUGUUGGGGAAUUUUGAUUGGGGGGCCUACUGUAUGUUUUCUGGCAUGUCCAAAUAAGGGAGGUUGAGAAUAACGACUUAUCGCGGACACUUAUCGUGUAAAACUGUAGAAAGAGGACAAAAUUUGUGUACAUAUGCAUCUGGAUGUACGUAUAAGUUUCCGUGAUAAGUGACUGAUCUCAACCUCCCUAAUCUUAUCAAAUCAACCUAAUACAUGCAUGUACCUAUCUCAGAGUCGAACCCACUAAUAAGGCCCUUGAUGCUCGGAUCACCUUCUCUCAUGGCGUAGUAGGCCUCUUCAGCAUCAGUUGGUGGUGGUUGACGUCCCCCACCACCAGUUGCUGGAUGACGCAUUUCGUCCAUUUUUGCCCGUGCUGAAAAUGAAUGAAAACAACUUAUUUAUUUCAGCUAUUAAAUGCAAUACAGUCCUGAUCAUUUUAAUCAUAUCAACCUCCUACAUUCCUAAGAUAUUUUGCAAACUAAUAGAUAAACUAAAUGACCAAUAACAUAAAUGCAAGUAUUUUCGUAAGGGUAUGCCUACAUGCAGGCCUUGAUAAGGAUUCUAUUAUUGUCAAAAUGUUUUCAUGUGGUAUUGAUAGUUAGCAUGGUUAGUAGGCCUUCACUUUUACCUUUCUCUUUACUGGUAUUGGAACAGGGCCUUAUCUGACUUUUUGCAAAAUGUUGGUGCUUUCUACUGAAGUCUUAACCCUACAGCUGCGUGAACUGAACUCUUGACUUCUGAUACAUAAUAAUUUUUUGUGAGAAUGGUAAAAUGACUUACCUCCAUGCUUUAUAUUCUUGUACUUUUUUUCACAUUCUGCACUUGUGCGCACCACUACUCCUGCAGCGCUGUACGUAAUGAUAUUUCGAAACAGUUCAAGUUCAAAUUUGAACUAAGAUGUAAGAAUGAUGCUAAAAGUAACAUCACACAACAAAAAAGUGCAUUGCCAUUGACAUUUUAAAAAUAUCAAUAUUGCAGUACUAAAUUGCAAUACCUGGGCCAUGAUGCCUUAUUUGAUGAUUAUAACCAUAGUAGGCCUACUUAGCAAAACUUCAGUUCCUAUAUCACUUUGAAAUUAUCUUGUAUCAGCCACUGGACUGUUCUUCUUGUGUUCAUAUUUUCAUUUUAAAGGGACUCUGUAGACAGCAAGGUGGGCAAGAUGAAGUUUAAAUUAGUCGAGUCUCUCACAUCUCGAAGUACAUCGAAAUCUUCGAUCAUGCUUGUACGCCGAAUAUAUUCAUAUAUAUUAAACAUGACCCAGUUUGAACUACAGUGGACACCUCCCUUAGUGGACACCUCUCUAUUGAGGAUAACCUCUCCAUCAAGGACACUAGUUUUGUUCACAAAGUGGUUGUUUCCAUUACAUUUGACCUUUUUAAUCAGGCACCUCUCAAGUAAGGACAGCACUUGCCAGUCCUAAGGGUGCCCUGAAUAAUAGAGAGGUACUGUACUUAAGAUCAAGAUGACCAAUUUAAACUUUUUGGCACUUUGCUCCUGCCUAAAUAGUCCCCAUUUCUAAAAUGUUGAUAAACAGAUAUGAUGAUGGCAUUGUCAUUGAUCUUGUCAACUCUAGUCUAAAGCAUUGAUGCACUUGUCAUAAAUCUUUAACUGUAUUAAUAUUUACACUUUACAGUGAGAGAAAUAUUAUUUUAUCAUUAUAUUGAUUGAUUGUUAUCAAAACUCAUGUUUUUAUU